UACGUAGGGGGCGAGCGUUGUCCGGAUUUAUUGGGCGUAAAGAGCUCGUAGGCGGUUUGGUAAGUCGGGUGUGAAAUCUCCACGCUCAACGUGGAGGGGCCACUCGAUACUGCCAUGACUCGAGUCCGGUAGAGGAGUGUGGAAUUCCCGGUGUAGCGGUGAAAUGCGCAGAUGUCGGGAGGAACACCCGUAGCGAAGGCGGCACUCUGGGCCGGAACUGACGCUGAGGAGCGAAAGCGUGGGGAGCAAACAGG
rnacentral:rRNA from 1 species